UUUCUUCUACAUAACAAUAAUUCGUAUCUACACCAUACAAUAGCCUAUAUUCUUUCCUGUAUCAAUUGUGUGUUGACCGUGAUCAGAUUUGCACUUGAGCUUCUCUCUACAGAUAUGACACCUCUGAACUUGUGUUUUGUUUUCCUAGUAGUCUCAUUGUUUUCAACUUCAGUGUCAGCUGGACCUAAUCGAGGAAAGUAUUUGCCCAGAUACCCAGUAGGCGAAGAAACAGAAAAAA